rnacentral:lncRNA from 1 species
AGGUUAUGAGGUAAGGGUUCACAGGGAACAUGCAGCCAUGUUAUGAGGUCAGGGUUUGCUGGGAACAGGCAGCCAUGUUAUGAGGUCAGGGUUCGCUGGGAACAGGCAGCCAUGUUAUGAGGUCAGGGUUAGCUGGGAACAGGCAGCGAUGUUAUGAGGUCAGGGUUAGCUGGUAUUAGGCAGCCAUGUUAUGAGGUCAGGGUUAGCUGGGGACAGGCAGCCAUGUUAUGAGGUCAGGGUUUGCUGGGAACAGGCAGCGAUGUUAUGCGGUCAGGGUUAGCUGGGGACAGGCAGCCAUGUUAUGAGGUCAGGGUUAGCUGGGGACAGGCAGCCAUGUU